GACGAACCGAGCGAACGUUGUUCGGCAGCACUGGGCUUAAAGGGCGCGUAGGCGGGUGAUCAAGGCCGGGGUGAAAUCCUCAAGCUCAACUGGAGAACUGCCUCGGAUACUGGUUGCCUCGAGGAAGGUAGGGGUGUGUGGAACGUUCAGUGGAGCGGUGAAAUGCAUUGAUAUUGAACGGAACUCCGGUGGCGAAGGCGACACACUGGACCUUUUCUGACGCUGAGGCGCGAAAGCUAGGGGAGCAAACGGG
rnacentral:rRNA from 1 species